rnacentral:rRNA from 1 species
GACGAACGCUGGCGGCGUGCUUAACACAUGCAAGUCGAACGGAAAGGCCCUGCUUUUGUGGGGUGCUCGAGUGGCGAACGGGUGAGUAACACGUGAGUAACCUGCCCUUGACUUUGGGAUAACUUCAGGAAACUGGGGCUAAUACCGGAUAUGAGCCCCUGCUGCAUGGUGGGGGUUGGAACGCUUCGGCGGUUGGGGAUGGACUCGCGGCUUAUCAGCUUGUUGGUGGGGUAGUGGCUUACCAAGGCUUUGACGGGUAGCCGGCCUGAGAGGGUGACCGGCCACAUUGGGACUGAGAUACGGCCCAGACUCCUACGGGAGGCAGCAGUGGGGAAUAUUGCACAAUGGGCGGAAGCCUGAUGCAGCAACGCCGCGUGCGGGAUGACGGCCUUCGGGUUGUAAACCGCUUUCGCCUGUGACGAAGCGUGAGUGACGGUAAUGGGUAAAGAAGCACCGGCUAACUACGUG